rnacentral:rRNA from 1 species
AAACUGCGAAUGGCUCAUUAAAUCAGGUUAUAGUUUAUUUGAUAGUACCUUACGUACUUGGAUAACCGUGGUAAUUCUAGAGCUAAUACAUGCAUUAAAAUCCCGACUUCUGGAAGGGAUGUAUUUAUUAGAUAAAAAACCAACCCGGCAACGGUUCUUUGGUGAUUCAUAGUAACUUCUCGAAUCGCAUUGCUUUACGCAGGCGAUGGUUCAUUCAAAUUUCUGCCCUAUCAACUAUCGAUGGUAGGAUAGAGGCCUACCAUGGUUAUAACGGGUAACGGGGAAUAAGGGUUCGAUUCCGGAGAGGGAGCCUUAAAAACGGCUACCACAUCUAAGGAAGGCAGCAGGCGCGCAAAUUACCCAAUCCCGACACGGGGAGGUAGUGACAAUAAAUAACAAUCCAGGGCUUUUGGUCUUGGAAUUGGAAUGAGAACAAUUUAAAUCCCUUAACGAUUAACAAUUGGAGGGCAAGUCUGGUGCCAGCAGCCGCGGUAAUUCCAGCUCCAAUAGCGUAUAUUAAAGUUGUUGCAGUUAAAAAGCUCGUAGUUGAAUUUUGGGCUGGGUUGGACGGUCUCGCCGCAAGGUGAGCACUGUUCGGCCUGGCCUCUCCUUCUGGAAAACUACCGUGCUCUUAAUUGGGUGCGAUAGGGAUCCAGGACUUUUACUUUGAAAAAAUUAGAGUGUUCAAAGCAGGCUUACGCCUGAAUACAUUAGCAUGGAAUAAUAGAAUAGGACUUUGGUUCUAUUUUGUUGGUUUCUAGGACCAAAGUAAUGAUUAAUAGGGAUAGUUGGGGGCAUUAGUAUUUAGUUGUCAGAGGUGAAAUUCUUGGAUUUACGAAAGACUAACUUCUGCGAAAGCAUUUGCCAAGGAUGUUUUCAUUAAUCAAGAACGAAAGUUAGGGGAUCGAAGACGAUCAGAUACCGUCGUAGUCUUAACCAUAAACUAUGCCGACUAGGGAUCGGAGC